rnacentral:misc_RNA from 1 species
GAAAUGCGAUAAGUAAUGUGAAUUGCUUAAGUUCAGCGGGUAUUCCGGGGGGCAUGCCUGUUCGAGCGUCAUUAAAACUACUCAAGCUAAGGUUUUACCUUCUGCUUGGUCUUGGGUUUGAGGAGUUAAAUCCUCUGUCCGAAAUCCAGUGGCGAAUUGUUUGAGCUGUGGACGUAGUAAAACUUUCUACCCGUUGCAAGCGAGAACCUAUUCAGCCAUAACCCCCAUACUUUCUAGUUUGACCUCGGAUCAGGUAGGGAUACCCGCUGAACUUAA